GGUGUCUGUGAUGUCACUUUUACCUACAUUGUUCGACUGCUGCUGAGAAAAACCCCAAAUCCUGAGACACCC